AGUUGUAUUUUCUCUUCUUUAAACAUAUUUAUGGUGUCUGCAGAAGAAUUAAGAUGGGGUUUUUACUAACUAAGCCCAAAUUUGUAUUUGCCUUAGAGUAAUCCAAAGCAGCAAUGAUUCCAGCUGAGGCACCCCUCGUAACCAUCAGCCAGGAACAGAAGCCGUCAUCUCUUCCCAGAGUACCUGGGGUAUCAAAGCUGUGCCACUCCGGGUGCGUGCUCCUUGCUGAAGGACCUGUGAAACUGUGCUCAAGGAGGAGCUGGGCUGGUGCUUCUGCCUUCCUGAG
rnacentral:lncRNA from 1 species